GUUGUUGUUUUUUUCUUUUCCUCCCAUUAACUUAAAGAUUCAGGACACUCCCCAACAGUUGACUGUCUGAUUUGAAAAUGCUAAAGAUUAAAACGAACCAUGAUUAAAACAAAACAAAACAAAAACAAAAACAAAAAAAACCACAAUUAAAACCCUUUUAUUUUUGUGCAUGUGCAUUCCUGCGUGAGCUCGGUUCACCAUGUGUGUAGUACUCCCAGAGGCCAGCAGAGGGCACUUCACUCCCUGGGAUGGUGUUACAGGAGGUUGUGGUCUGCCUGAUGUGGGUUCUGAGAACGGAACCCACGUCUUCUGCAAGAGCUGUGAAGUGCCUUUAACAGCUGAGUCGUGUCUCCAACCGCAGCCACGAUGUUCUUCAAAAAGAGCAAGAGUCGUGACUCACACAAGGAACAGCGAUGUUCGGGACUGUGAAGAUCCAAAGGUCAAGGUCUGCCUGGCCAUCAGAGCAAGAUCAAGGCGAACACAGGUGUCCCACCUUCUAUUUCCUGCCUUUUGCUAACUGGCCGUCAGCUUGUUAUUAACAGGUGAUGCUCCCCCAAACUACACACGAGAUUAUCCCUAUAAGAAGCUACGUAGUAGAAAAAGGACAGUGAAGUUCGUUUGAACAUCUGGUACAGCUGAACUCACCGGGAGUUCACCGUGAGAGUUCUGAAGCCAGCACAGCUGCUUGACAGAAUAAUUCCAGCGAAGUUGAGCCGAAUGCUGCAACCACUGUCCUUCUGUUCUCACUCUUGGGUUUUGGUCUCUGUGUGUUGCAUUCUUGGGGAUUUUUCUGUGUUACGCGAUUCAUCUUAUGUCUUUUCUUGAGAAAAUUAUGUCUGAGUCUUUUUAGGAACACCCUAAAAUUAACUCUAUCUGGCCACUAUUUGGAAGUCUUCCUUAUGUCCUGGAGAUCUUUGAGCACAGAUAAGCAUAGCUAGAUGAGGCCAUUACUCCAGGGAUCUUCUUGGGGUCUCUGCCCCUGAGCAAACUCACACAGUAUAAUUGGUGCAGGGUAAACAGAGACAACUGACAAACUCUGACUGGCCGGGGGAAGAGGUUACAGAGUCAUGGCCUCCCAUUGCAAUAUGCUUAGAGCUUUCUGACAAUGUAGUUUAAAGAUACGGGGUCCCUGGAGGAAUAGAACUCGGUACACAGGAUAGAGUGACUAAAACAAACAUUUUCUACUUUAUAGCGUAGACGACGAAACAUAUAGUAAAAGAAGUUAGGUAUUAGUGUUUGCCACUCAUAAAGAGGCCGGUUCAGAUAUUUUCUGUUUGUCUGGAGUGCUUUCAAACUGCCGACUCUGCCAGCCUAAAAGCAGGCUGUCGUGUAAUGAACGUGUUUGCUUUGGCGGAGACGUCCUUUAGAUUCUUUAAAUUGGACUUAUUGGGCUGAUAAUCAAAAAUUAAAUCUGCUCAUCUGUUCUCUUUGUAUCUUCUAUUGGGACUGAACUUGUAACCCUGGAUACGUAAUGACACACACAAAAAAAUCAAACACAUAAUCUGUACUUCUUAGGCAAUCAUUAGUCUGUCUUUGUUCUGCGAAACCCGUAUGAAUACGGAAGCACCCGGUGGCCAGUCAGUCAGAGCUUCCAAGUUCCCUGAACACCGUCACCUCAUUCACCCCUCCCUGCCCUCCCUAUUUCCUCUGCCCCGGCAGCAGUGGCCCAGGAAGGCCCCUGGCAAUGUUCUGGACUUUCUGAGAAAGUUCACACCGAGCUGACAAGCAGGAACGUGGCGUUAAGUCUACCUAGUAAUUCACAGAGCAAUAACCAGUGCCUAGACAUGGACCCUUGCAGGAGAUGUCAUGAUUGGAAAGUACAUACGCUAUUAGGCUUCUGUUCUCAAGUAGUCUCUCUGAUCAGCUUGCUAGCAGGUUGGUAGAGCGUAAAUGUCCAAGCAAUGGUAUUCUUCAAACAAACAAACUAACAAGAUUGACUUGUGCAUUGUGCCUUCAUGUGAGUCCCUGUGCCACUUUUGUGCCUGAUGACAGAGAGGGCAGAAGCAAGCACUGGGUGCCCUGGAGCUGGGGU